GAUGAACGCUGGCGGCGUGCCUAAUACAUGCAAGUCGAGCGAACAGGCGAGGCGUUUGCUGCGUUGACGUUAGCGGCGGAGGGGUGUAAAACACGUAUAUAACCUACCUAUCAGACUGGUAUAACUUCGGGAAACGGGCGCAUAUCCCGUAGGAUAUCUCGAACCACGUGGUUCGUUGGUGAGAGAUGGCGGUGCUGGCUCUAAUAGCGGGACCUGCGCCGUAUUAGCUAGUUGGUAAGUUCACGGCUUACCAAGGCAAGGAGACGUAGCCGAGCUGAGAGGGUGGUAGGCCACACUGGAACUGAGCCACGGUCCAUACUACUACGGGAGGCAGCAGUAGGCAAUGUUCCGCAAUGGGCGAGAGCAUGACGGAGUAACGCCGCGUGAGUGAUGAAGGUCUUCGGAGCGUAAAACUCUGUUAUUAGGGAAGAACAAACGUGGAAGGAACUGUGCAGGGAUUGACGGUACCUAAUCAGAAAGCCCCGGCUAACUACGUG
rnacentral:rRNA from 1 species